CACGUAGUUAGCCGGGGCUUUCUUCUCAGGUACCGUCACCUCAGGAGCAGUUACUCUCCUGAGCGUUCUUCCCUGGCAACAGAGCUUUACGACCCGAAGGCCUUCAUCACUCACGCGGCGUUGCUCCAUCAGACUUUCGUCCAUUGUGGAAGAUUCCCUACUGCUGCCUCCCGUAGGAGUCUGGGCCGUGUCCCAGUCCCAGUGUGGCCGAUCACCCUCUCAGGUCGGCUAUGCAUCGUCGCCUUGGUGAGCCGUUACCUCACCAACUAGCUAAUGCACCGCAGGUCCAUCCAUAAGUGACAGAUUGCUCCGCCUUUCCCAAAUCUCUCAUGCGAGAAAUUUGAUUAUCUGGUAUUAGCAUCCGUUUCCGAAUGUUAUCCCAGUCUUAUGGGCAGGUUACCUACGUGUUACUCACCCGUCCGCCGCUAAGCAUCAUCUUUCCCGAAGAAAAGACUAGCUCCGCUCGACUUGCACUGUAUUAGGCACGCCGACCG
rnacentral:rRNA from 1 species